UAGGGAAUCUUCCACAAUGGACGCAAGUCUGAUGGAGCAACGCCGCGUGAGUGAAGAAGGUUUUCGGAUCGUAAAGCUCUGUUGUUGGUGAAGAAGGAUAGAGGCAGUAACUGGUCUUUAUUUGACGGUAAUCAACCAGAAAGUCACGGCUAACUACGUGCCAGCAGCCGCGGUAAUACGUAGGUGGCAAGCGUUGUCCGGAUUUAUUGGGCGUAAAGCGAGCGCAGGCGGAAUGAUAAGUCUGAUGUGAAAGCCCACGGCUCAACCGUGGAACUGCAUCGGAAACUGUCAUUCUUGAGUGCAGAAGAGGAGAGUGGAAUUCCAUGUGUAGCGGUGGAAUGCGUAGAUAUAUGGAAGAACACCAGUGGCGAAGGCGGCUCCCUGGUCUGCAACUGACGCUGAGGCUCGAAAGCAUGGGUAGCGAACAGG
rnacentral:rRNA from 2 species